rnacentral:rRNA from 1 species
UACGUAGGGUGCGAGCGUUGUCCGGAAUUAUUGGGCGUAAAGGGCUCGUAGGCGGUUUGUCGCGUCGGGAGUGAAAACUCAGGGCUUAACCCUGAGCCUGCUUUCGAUACGGGCAGACUAGAGGUAUGCAGGGGAGAACGGAAUUCCUGGUGUAGCGGUGAAAUGCGCAGAUAUCAGGAGGAACACCGGUGGCGAAGGCGGUUCUCUGGGCAUGACCUGACGCUGAGAAGCGAAAGUGUGGGGAGCGAACAGG